AUGGCGGCCGCCUCAACGAGCUCGCCUCGAUCGACCGCAUGUUCCACGCCAUCGUCGUCGAUGUGCUCCCGGUACUCGUCGCCGACCCUGUCGCUGCUGUCCCGCUACGCCGUCUUCAUCCAGGCCUCCGCCCCCGCCGUCGGCGGCGACUUCGAGCACAGCGCCACGCUCAUCUGCCAGGACAUGAUCGCGUACGCCGACAACACCCGCCGACACCCCCCGCGACUCUCCGCCGCCGACCUGCUCCGCCGCCUGAAGAUGUUCCGCUUGGAGACAGUCACCAUCGCCGACCACGGCAUCAACGACGACAGCCACGUGUUGGCGUGGAUGAUGGGCCUCGACCACAUCCACGUGAACUCCUUCCGCCGCCUCGCGAGCCUUAGGGAGGAGGUCUUCGACGGCCCCCCCGCCGAGUACCGAGUCACCAUCGACGCCCUCCCCGCCUCCCACUCCUCCGCCCUCCUCGGCGUGGUGUACUUCGAGGGCGGCGCCAGCGACUGGAUCGUUCGCAACGCCGCCCGCCUCACUGCCCUGGCGAACGUCGACGUCUCCUUCCAGCUCAUCGGCCUCGGCCUCCUCCCCUUCCUCCACGACAACCCCACCAGCCAGCCAGCGCUUCGGUUCCUCGUCGACUACGUCCGCGACGUCAGGGAGAAGGUCGGAGCCAUGGGCGGCGAGUUCGUCACGCACGCCACUGACAUGUGUGACAACCUCAUUGCGAACGGCACGCGCCCCCUCCCGCCCCCGGAGAUGAGGAUGGUUACGGAGCAGCUGCGCCGGGAUCUCGAUGUCUUCAGAUCCCGCGACCUGUCCAUCCACGAGUCCGACUCCACCGGCGAGCCCACCUCAGGUUCGUCUGACGCCUCGGACUCCACCGGCGAGCCCGCCUCAGGUUCGUCUGACGCCUCGGACUCCACCGGCGAGCCCACCUCAGGUUCGUCUGACGCCUCGGACUCCACCGGCGAGCCCACCUCAGGUUCGUCUGACGCCUCGGACUCCACCGGCGAGCCCACCUCAGGUUCGUCUGAUGCCUCGGACUCCACCGGCGAGCCCACCUCAGGUUCGUCUUAG
rnacentral:rRNA from 1 species